GCAGUAGCAUGUCGGUGGUUGUUCUAUCGCGGAAAUCUUCUAUUAGUAACAAGCGGGGAAGAGCUGAGACUAUGGCCCCGUUCGGAUCUUCUCCUGCUCCUAGCUUCCUCGGCUCCGCGCUGGAGCCAGCCCCAACGCCACGGCUCCGAGAAGACCGCUUCGUGGAGCGAAGUCCCCUCGUAGUGCAAAAAAGAGAAGAUGGUCGAGCCCCGCUCUCAAAAAUCGAAGGAGAUAGAGUUGGGGAUUAUUACACGAUAUGCCACCGCCAAGUGACCAGGGGGCAGCGUACCGGUUCGCUCGACUUGUUCUUUCCCCUCGAGACGUUGCUAUUCCAUUGAAACCUGGCCUGCCUUUCCUUUGAACGGGCCUAAAGCAAGUUUAUUGGGCUAUCAGCCCAACUAACCAACUGGAAGUGGAAGCUGGCCUCCCGAACGGUUUCUCGUGAGCCAGGUUUUGUACGAGAAGUAGGAUUUGGUAGGAGGAGCGGAAGCGGGAAAUACACUUUGGUUCCUGGGUGUAUAUACACCCUAUAUGGGAAUUUAUUAUUAUUAUUUUAAUAAAAAGUCAAAAUAGGUAAGAACUAUUUUGACAAAACACUUGACUUACUUUUGCACUAGUAAAUAAAUCUGGAUGAAAAAAAACAAAAGUUGACCUCACAGCAAAAAAGACAAAAUUUAUUUGCUAUUAUAGGUCACUAUUCACACUAUUUUAGCCAAAAAAUUGUCUUUUUUGAAAAGAAGUCAAAGGGAUUUUUUUUGUGGAUUUAUUUUCUCACGAGUACAAUAGAAGGUCAAGUUUAUUUCAGAAAUAUUUUCAGGAAAUUUUGACUUUUUGUUGAAUUACUAUUUUUUUUACAUAUAGGAUGCAUAUGUCCCCCAUAGACCAAAAGUUCCCCUCCGAGCGGAUGCUGGCUAUUUGGAGAAGUUGGACAACAUCCGAACGGGGCCUAUGUGUGUUAUAAAUAAAUGCGCAACAAUGUGUACUCACACUGUUUAUGAAGAUUAAGUGAUGCUUUAUGGUUGGAAAAUUUUGUUGUGCCUGUUAGCAAAUUGCUUGCCUAAUUCAUAUAUCCAAAUUGUAGUGUAUUUUAA
rnacentral:lncRNA from 1 species